rnacentral:rRNA from 1 species
UACGAAGGGGACUAGCGUUGUUCGGAAUCACUGGGCGUAAAGCGCACGUAGGCGGACGUGUCAGUCAGGGGUGAAAUCCCGGGGCUCAACCUCGGAACUGCCUUUGAUACAGCACGUCUCGAGUCCGGAAGAGGUGGGUGGAAUUCCUAGUGUAGAGGUGAAAUUCGUAGAUAUUAGGAAGAACACCGGUGGCGAAGGCGGCCCACUGGUCCGGUACUGACGCUGAGGUGCGAAAGCGUGGGGAGCAAACAGG